GUGCUAGCUUCGGCAGCACAUAUACUAAAAUUAGAACGAUACAGAGAAGAUUAGCAUGGCCCCGGUGCAAGGAUGACAUGCAAAUUCGUGAAGAGUUCCAUAUUUUU
ensembl:snRNA Gm23966 predicted gene, 23966